UUAAAUGACUUUACUAAAUUAAGUGAUCACAACGGACUUCCUUUCUUCGAAUGGCGUCGUUGGGUUACUGCUCUGAAGUGGGUUCGAUUUUAGAAUAACGUGCUGAACUAAAUCGGUUAGUCUACUAAUACUCCAAAUUCUGACACAAUAAGGGUUGCAGUUACUACUUAACCUGCAAGGACAUGUCCUCUGUGUGUACUAACUACCGUUGUACUGGCUGGUUGAGUGCUCCCCUUGAUUCAGCGUUGUAGUACACAAAUCUUCGUUCACUGUAACGCAGCGUUCAGUAUGUGUGGCUCAUCUCUAAUGCUACAGUGAACUAUCGUACUGGCAAUGCCGUUAAAUGUUGUUCUGCGAUAUUUGUGUGAAGAUAGGGCGGGUUUGAAUCCCUCUUCCUCCUGGCGCUUGCUGUUACUAAGCUGUUCAUCGUUCCAAUGGUUUUUGCGCCGUUUCUGGAAAACUUGAUGAAAUUACCCACAGUAACCCUUGGCCAUUACUUACUCUACACAAUCGCCGUACUCAUCUCUACCCUAUAAUGUGAAAUCAACUCUGCUUUGAUGACACAGUAGCAUCAAUAGUUGAGAAACCUAGAGCACACUAAAUUACCACCGACAGCGAGAAUACAAUAGACGAAUUUGCUUCAACGGAAAUCGACGACAACAAAUACAUAGGUGGGAAUUGAUGCGGGCUACAGUACAGAAUACCGCUGAAGAAACGCGGAGCCGGAUUCGUGGUAGUUGCUACACAUAUAUGGCCAUAAUAAUAAUAAUCUCGCAUAAUAUUACACAUUAUCAUCAGAAUCAUGCCGUCAGACAGGGCUGGAAAACUAUGUAAAUGGAAAAUUGAAGUCGUAGUACAAUCAAAAUACUGUUUACAUUAAGGAAACUCGUAUUUUGUGUAACUGGUAGAGAACAAGGCUGGCCGGAAUGAGGUUUUAUAUUUAUAUCCUUCGCAAAAGUUACAGUGGAGUCUCCGAGAUAACUAUAUAAGCAAGUGGGCUUAACCUCU